AUUAAACUUUGGUCUUUAUUGAAUUUUCUAUCCUUUUUAAGGUAUUUCUCCAAGCUACUGUUGACCUCUGGUCAAUGAAAACACAAACUUGAUGUCAUCUGGGAGGUGAACAACAUUCACAAAUUUUAGAGAUUCUUCAGAAGAAGCUAAUGCUACACACUGAAUACCUUGCAUUAAGUGGGUGGGACAAAUGCAAAGGACUGGUCCCUCUGCCAUCCCACAUCAGGUCACCUGCACAGCUACUCACAGCUAGCCUCAACACAAUUCUCAGAAGCUGCCUCCAACACCAGCUCUGUUCUCAUGGAAAAAUAUCAUCAUAUCUAAGGUGGGACAAGAUUGUUUUGUCAGUCUCUGAAGAUCCCAAAGCAGACCUUUGCUGUGCCAGAUUCUUGCUGCAUGUCACCUGCUUUUCAGCUGCACAGGGUUCCCACUUGACUGAACAAAAGAGGAG